UGUCUGUGGUGAUGAUGUGGCAGUAGCCAUUGUCCUGAAACAAAUCCAUGUGGGUUUAUAGUCACUACCUCAUCUGAACAGUCA
ensembl:snoRNA SNORD11B small nucleolar RNA SNORD11B